AUUGAACGCUGGCGGAAUGCUUUACACAUGCAAGUCGAACGGCAGCACGGACUUCGGUCUGGUGGCAAGUGGCGAACGGGUGAGUAAUGUAUCGGAACGUGCCCAGUCGUGGGGGAUAACGUAGUGAAAAUUACGCUAAUACCGCAUACGAUCUAUGGAUGAAAGCGGGGGAUCGCAAGACCUCGCGCGGUUGGAGCGGCCGAUAUCAGAUUAGGUAGUUAGUGGGGUAAAGGCCCACCAAGCCAACGAUCUGUAGCUGGUCUGAGAGGACGACCAGCCACACUGGAACUGAGACACGGUCCAGACUCCUACGGGAGGCAGCAGUGGGGAAUUUUGGACAAUGGGCGAAAGCCUGAUCCAGCCAUUCCGCGUGCAGGAUGAAGGCCCUCGGGUUGUAAACUGCUUUUGUACAGAACGAAAAGGUUUCUACUAAUACUAGGAGCUCAUGACGGUACUGUAAGAAUAAGCACCGGCUAACUACGUGCCAGCAGCCGCGGUAA
rnacentral:rRNA from 1 species